ensembl:lincRNA Gm43177 predicted gene 43177
CAGGAAGAAAAGAUCUGUCUAGAAAGGCGUCUCUCUUUUUAUUCGUCUCUCUUUUUAUUUGCAAACAGAAUGGCUCACCAGUUUCUGAGUUUGUAUACUACGUGUCUGGCUAAAUGCCUGUUUUCUUUUCUUUCUUCUCUCUCUCUCUCUCUCUCUCUAGAGAUUGACUUAUUACAAGAUUGACUUUCUGAGCUAUGUCUAAUGACUUUUUUAAAAAGAAAAAAAAUAGGUCAACAUCCUAUCUUCUGGGUCCAUGAAGAAUGACAUUUCAAAUCACUUUUCCCUAGAUGUACUGACCAUUUAAAUUUUUAAUAGGGAAGAAAAGGAUUGGUGUUUUUCAAAAACAACAAACAAAACAGAUGUUGGAAAGAGCAUCAUGAGAUGAAAUUUAACGUAAUAACUUCAGAACCAAGUAAUGCUAACUGACCAAGCUUCGAAAAUGCAACUAUGUUCUUUAAAGUACUGGGCCUAUGGGAGUUCUAUUCAGCUCUCCAUGACUGAUCUCAUCCAUGGUGACUAGAGGGCCUUCUCUACUUCCUGGGUAUCCUGGCUGAGAUGAAGACGGGACUCUUCAUCCUGCUCCUGUUUCAAUCUCAAUGGCCAAUGGGAGCUACUUCAGUGUCUGUUAUCACUUCGCCUACUUGUUGACUAGAUGGAUGUAUUCAUCCCAACAUCUCUGGAAGGAUUUAUCUCCAUUACACGUAUUGGAGAGACUGACUCAGUGAUGUCCUGGGCCAUGCAGCUAGGACGUGUAAGGAAUGGAAUGCAAGGCUGGUUAACGCAUCUGCCUCCCCCACACAGGUGCAGCUGUGGGCAUCUCUGCACCAGCUACAUCACACGUGUAUAUUCACAAAUGGAAAUCCCACCCUCCCCUUUGUCCCCAGUUGAUAACAAGUAGACAUUUGUCCUGGGCUGGGGCAAGGGUUGCUUGGUUUGAGCCUUGUAAUGCAGAAUCUUACUCUGUAUCCCCAGACCUGGAACUCACUAUGCAGUGAGUACGCAACUCACCGUAAUCCUCCUGCCUCAGCUUCGAGUGCUGGAAUUUAACAUAUGAGCCACCAUACCUGUAUUUAAUUUUGUUUCAUAGAUGAAUAAACUAAGACUCAGUGGG